rfam:Arabis alpina cultivar Pajares Aa.chr6_contig_2500, whole genome shotgun sequence.
AUCCCAUGGUGAGGACAAGCUCUUGUAUAUCCUUUCAUACGUUCCCACGUGUCAUACAAACUCUCUUCUUCGCCUUGCUCAAAUCUAGUUAUAUCGUUCCUUAUCUU